UUUUAUUUUGCAAAUAUUUUGGAGACAUUGAUUUUUCUCCCCGUGCUCCCCCGUUCUUUCCUGAGGAGUGCGCUGCUCCGCCCAGCCCUGUCGCCCCCCGGAGGUGAUCCCUCCCUCCUGCCGGCCCGCCAGCCUGACCUGUGCUUGGCUCGCGGGCCGCAGCCUUGGCCCCGGCGCGCCCCCGGCUGCUCUCGGCGCGAUG
rnacentral:other from 14 species